rnacentral:rRNA from 1 species
GACGAACGCUGGCGGCGUGCCUAAUACAUGCAAGUGGAGCGAGACUCUUCGGAGUCUAGCGGCGGACGGGUGAGUAACACGUGGGCAACCUGCCUGUAAGACUGGGAUAACACCGGGAAACCGGUGCUAAUACCGGAUAAUCCUUUUCCCCUCCUCAGGAAAAGCUGAAAGUCGGUUUCGGCUGACACUUACAGAUGGGCCCGGGGCGCAUUAGCUAGUUGGUGAGGGAACGGCUAACCAAGGCGACGAUGCGUAGCCGACCUGAGAGGGUGAUCGGCCACACUGGGACUGAGACACGGCCCAGACUCCUACGGGAGGCAGCAGUAGGGAAUCUUCCACAAUGGACGAAAGUCUGAUGGAGCAACGCCGCGUGGGCGAUGAAGGCCUUCGGGUCGUAAAGCUCUGUUGUUAGGGAAGAACAAGUACCGGAGUAACUGCCGGUACCUUGACGGUACCUAACCAGAAAGCCACGGCUAACUACGUGCCAGCCGCCGCCGUAA